rnacentral:rRNA from 1 species
GCAUAUCAAUAAGCGGAGGAAAAGAAACCAACAGGGAUUGCCCUAGUAACGGCGAAGUGAAGCGGCAACAGCUCAAAUUUGAAAUCUGGCGCAAGCCCGAGUUGUAAUUUGUAGAGGAUGUUUCUGGCGACGCGCCUUCCGAGUUCCCUGGAACGGGACGCCAUAGAGGGUGAGAGCCCCGUACGGUUGGAUGCCUAGCCUCUGUGAAACUCCUUCGACGAGUCGAGUAGUUUGGGAAUGCUGCUCUAAAUGGGAGGUAUACGUCUUCUAAAGCUAAAUAUUGGCCAGAGACCGAUAGCGCACAAGUAGAGUGAUCGAAAGAUGAAAAGCACUUUGAAAAGAGGGUUAAAAAGUACGUGAAAUUGUUGAAAGGGAAGCGUUCAUGACCAGACUUGGGCAGGUUGAUCAUCCGUGGUUCUCCGCGGUGCACUCUGCCUGCCCAGGCCAGCAUCAGUUCGCCCCGGGGGAUAAAAGCUUCGGGAAUGUGGCUCCUUCGGGAGUGUUAUAGCCCGCUGCAUAAUACCCUGGGGCGGACUGAGGUUCGCGCACUGCAAGGAUGCUGGCGUAAUGGUCAUCAACGACCCGUCUUGAAACACGGACCAAGGAGUCGUCUUCGUAUGCGAGUGUUCGGGUGUCAAACCCCUACGCGUAAUGAAAGUGAACGUAGGAGAGAGCUUCGGCGCAUCUCCGACCGAUCCUGAUGUUCUCGGAUGGAUUUGAGUAAGAGCAUACGGGGCCGGACCCGAAAGAAGGUGAACUAUGCCUGUAUAGGGUGAAGCCAGAGGAAACUCUGGUGGAGGCUCGCAGCGGUUCUGACGUGCAAAUCGAUCGUCAAAUAUGGGCAUGGGGGCGAAAGACUAAUCGAACCUUCUAGUAGCUGGUUUCCGC